UUGAACGCUGGCGGCAUGCCUUACACAUGCAAGUCGAACGGUAGAGGGGCAACCCUUGAGAGUGGCGAACGGGUGAGUAAUGCAUCGGAACGUGCCCAGUCGUGGGGGAUAACGCAGCGAAAGCUGUGCUAAUACCGCAUGUGAUCUGUGGAUGAAAGCAGGGGACCGCAAGGCCUUGUGCGAUUGGAGCGGCCGAUGUCAGAUUAGCUAGUUGGUAGGGUAAAAGACCUACCAAGGCGACGAUCUGUAGCUG
rnacentral:rRNA from 1 species